rnacentral:piRNA from 1 species
UUGAAGAAGAGAAAAUAAGUUGGAUAGGGU